rnacentral:antisense_RNA from 1 species
AAAAUGGCGACACGUGGUUAGCAUUCGUCGCCAACGAGAAAUUGGGGUCGGCCCGAAAGCUCUAGAAUGCACCCCCCUUCUUCCCCGGGGCCUUCCACCUCCGCGAGUUUUAUGACUUAAAAAACCCCACAGGCUGGUCUGAAGAGGAAGACAAACAUAAAGAUGAAGUGCUUAAUUCAAGGUCACACAAUGUCGGGGAUGGACCUCCAGAUUUCCUUACUGACCUGCAUUAUCUUGUGGAUACCUGAGUGAAUUCCACACCACCCAUUUUAUAGAUGAAACCACUGAGACAUGGAGCAACUGACUGAGUAGUCACUGCCCCACCCCUGCCUGGAGCCUCACACAUGACUCGUCUCCUCUCAGUGACCACAGGUUGGUUGAGGGGUUUAACAAGGCUAAGAAGAGACGGAGUCUUGCUAUGUUGCCCAGGCUGGUCUUGAACUCCUCACCUCAAGCGAUCCUCUCGUCUUGGCCUCCCAAGUGUCAGGAUUACAGGCAUGUGCUAUCACACCCAACCUGAUACAUUGCCUUUAUAAAUUUUUUUUUCUUUAUUCUAAAAACCAGAAAAAACAAAACUG